rnacentral:rRNA from 1 species
UACGUAGGGUGCGAGCGUUGUCCGGAAUUAUUGGGCGUAAAGAGCUUGUAGGCGGUUUGUCGCGUCUGCUGUGAAAAUCCGGGGCUCAACCCCGGACUUGCAGAGGGUACGGGCAGACUAGAGUGUGGUAGGGGAGACUGGAAUUCCUGGUGUAGCGGUGGAAUGCGCAGAUAUCAGGAGGAACACCGAUGGCGAAGGCAGGUCUCUGGGCCAUUACUGACACUGAGAAGCGAAAGCAUGGGGAGCGAACAGG